AGGAAUUGGCGGGAGCACUAUACAAGGGGUGGAGCGUGCGGUUUAAUUGGAUUCAACGCCGGGAACCUCACCGGGGGCGACGGCAGGAUGAAGGCCAGGGUGAACGUCUUGCCGGACACGCCGAGAGGAGGUGCAUGGCCGCCGUCAGCUUGUACCGUGAGGCGUCCANUUAAGUGUGGUAACGAGCGAGACCCGCGCCCCCAGUUCCCAGUCUUCCCNGCUGGGGAGGAGGCACUCUGGGGGGACUGCCGGCGAUAAGCCGGAGGAAGGAGCGGGCGACGGUAGGUCAGUAUGCCCCGAAACCCCCGGGCUACACGCGGGCUACAAUGGGCGGGACAAUGGGAUCCGACCCCGAAAGGGGAAGGGAAUCCCCUAAACCCGCCCCCAGUUCGGAUUGCGGGCUGCAACUCGCCCGCAUGAAGCUGGAAUCCCGUAGUACCCGCGUGUC
rnacentral:rRNA from 1 species